UAUAAGAAUCAUGAUGUUUCCAAGGCAGCACAUGGUUUGGGGAAACUGGAGAGAAUACUCCCAAUGGAAAGGGAUAACAUCAUGGCUGCCACAACAAUGCUAUCCAGUGUGCAAAUGCCGGAUGUUCAGAGGGACCAAGUCAUCUUGAUUAGAAUCGUGGAGGAGCUGAAGAAUUCACAUUUGGGCUGAUGGGCCUGGGGUAGGGAAGACCAACAGACCACAUGCUUCUUGUCUCUUCUACUCCCUGAUCCUGUGAUAGGCAGGGCUAAGUGAUCGUCCGCUCCUCUCACCCUCCAGCCUCCAAGUGGGCCACUUUUCAAGCAUGGAAUUCUAGGAGGUGUAACACUGGACGAGCGGGCAACUGGCUCUUCAGGCUUGGAACCAACAGGGGGCAGCAGAGAGCAGAGAAGAAUUGGUAGGCUUGGGCUGACCCAGACCUAGGAAAACUUCCAAACUUCUUUCCUCAAAACCGAAUCCAUGUGGACUCACUCUGGAGACUAUUGUCCCCACAAGUGGUGUGGUCCGAGGGCACAGCAAGAAAGGAUGGAGGGAGACUUUAUUUGGGGUUCAGGUGGAGAAAAGCCUGUGCUGGAUGCCAGGCUGCUCUGAGAACAGGAAGGCAGAUAAUAAUGCUAACAGCAACAGUUACAAUUACCCAGCCCCUGUAGGGUGCCAGGCCCUCUGUCAAGGUGCUUUCAUUCUCUCAAAGACUGCUUGAGGUGGGGAAACUCCCAGUUUACAGAUGAGAAAACAGGAUCCCAGAGUGGUUAAAUAGCUUGUCCAUGAUCACAUGACUAAGGGAGGGGCAAACCACAUUUUAGACCUGUUCUGCCCUCUGUGUUAUGGUGCCCUUCCAGGAAGGAGGAAGAAAGGUGCACCUGGAGUUAGAACAUCCUUGGGGGUGUCCUGGACCCAAGGGAAGGCAAAUGGUCCUUCUGGUACCGACUACUGUCUCCUGAUGGCCACGAGUCUCCUGCUAGAUUUAGCUAGUUCACUGGCUCACAGGUCUAUGCACCAUCGUCGGCAGAGCCAGGGUAAGGUAGCUAGCCUCGAACAACACCAGAAAAAGGCAAAAAGAAAGAUAACAGAAACUUGUAUGGAACUUUCAAGUACUCACUACGGAAGUCAUUGAUUUAUCUGCCUACUGUGAGAGGUAAUUAUGUCACACUGGAAGGUCACAUUAGAACGCCCCUCACCUCCAUUAGCCUCAGCUCUACCCUGGGCUCAGAGAUCAAUCCUGGCCUUAUUUAGGGAAGCACAUCCAAGCAUAUUUGAAACUUUUGGGAUGGGCUUGGGGAUAUUGGCACCAGGGGCCUCUUGCUGUCAGUACCAUCCUGAUUCUAAGAACUCCACUAAUGCCACAUUCCUCAACCCAAGCCUGGAUCUAGGACUCAGGGUGCUGCCCCAUUAAAUGCUUUAUCUCUUGGGUCACUGCAGACCAGGGCCCUGCCUUCUUUAGCCAGUGCCUGUUUCCCUCAUCUGGCAGUAGGACAGCAGUCUACCAAAAGAGUCACAUGUUCACAUCCCAGCUUAGGUCCAAGUUGUGAGCCAACUGCUUAAUGUAAUCACUUUUUUGGUAUUGCUUUUUUUCUCUAAAAAAUAUGUAUGUUUUCUGAUCCUAAAUAUAAUAUUUUCUGAGCCAGGUGCAG